UAAUGGACAGACUACUGGCACAAAGU
rnacentral:piRNA from 1 species